GGACCUAUGGGGCACCCUGAAACCACCAACACGUCCAAGAAUCUAUGGGGUACCCCAAAACUGCCAACACAUUGAUGGACCUAUGGGGAGCCCCGAAACCAACCACGGACCUAUGGGCACCCCAAAACCACCAACUUCUCCAUGGACCUAUGGGGCACCCCAAAACCACCAACACGUCCAAGAAUCUAUGGGGUACCCCAAAACCACCACACAUUGAUGGACCUAUGGGGAACCCCGAAACCAACCACGGACCUAUGGGGCACCCCGAAACCGCCAACUUCUCCACAGACCUAUGGGGUUCCCCCAAAUCACCAACUUCUCCAUGGACUUAAGGGGCACCCCAAAACCGCCAACACAUUGAUGGACCUAUGGGGCACCCCGAAACAAACCAUGGACCUAUGGAGCACCCCGAAACCACCACACUUUGAUGGACCUAUGGGGAGCCCCGAAACCAACCGCGGACCUAUGGGGCACCCCAAAACCACCAACACAUUGAUGGACCUAUGGGGAGCCCCGAAACAAACCAUGGCCCUAUGGGGCACCCCGAAACUGCCAACUUCUCUAUGGAGCUAUG
rnacentral:lncRNA from 1 species